UACGGAGGGUGCAAGCGUUAAUCGGAAUUACUGGGCGUAAAGCGCACGUAGGUGGUUUGUUAAGCUAGAUGUGAAAGCCCCGGGCUCAACCUGGGAAUUGCAUUUAGAACUGGCAAGCUAGAGUAGGGUAGAGGGGUGUGGAAUUCCAGGUGUAGCGGUGAAAUGCGUAGAUAUCUGGAGGAACAUCGGUGGCGAAGGCGGCCCACUGGAUCGGUACUGACGCUGAGGUGCGAAAGCGUGGGGAGCAAACAGG
rnacentral:rRNA from 1 species